GCGAGCGGCGGACGGGUGAGUAUGCUGGGAAAUUGCCCAGUCGAGGGGGAUAACAGUUGGAAACGACUGCUAAUACCGCAUGCGCCCUACGGGGGAAAGCAGGGGACCUUCGGGCCUUGCACGAUUGGAUAUGCCCAGGUGGGAUUAGCUAGUUGGUGAGGUAAUGGCUCACCAAGGCGACGAUCCCUAGCUGGUCUGAGAGGAUGAUCAGCACACUGGAACUGAACACGGUCCAGACUCCUACGGGAGGCAGCAGUGGGGAAUAUUGCACAAUGGGGGAAACCCUGAUGCAGCCAUGCCGCGUGUGUGAAGAAGGCCUUCGGGUUGUAAAGCACUUUCAGCGAGGAGGAAAGGUCAGUAGCUAAUACCUGCUGACUGUGACGUUAACUCGCAGAAGAAGCACCGGCUAACUCCGUGCCAGCAGCCGCGGUAAUCACGGAGGGUGCAAGCGUCAAAUCCGGCAAUUACACUNGGGCGUAAAACAGCGCAACGCAGCGCCGGGCCGNGACCAAACCGNUACGCAAUGGUAGAACGAACGCCACCCGGGGGGGCAUCAAAACCCUGGGGCGCAAAUAUGGGCACUUCAGCAAAGAACACUUG
rnacentral:rRNA from 1 species